rnacentral:rRNA from 1 species
CCUACGGGAGGCAGCAGUGGGGAAUAUUGCACAAUGGGGGAAAGCCUGAUGCAGCGACGCCGCGUGAGUGAAGAAGUAAUUCGUUAUGUAAAGCUCUAUCAGCAGGGAAGAAAAUGACGGUACCUGAGCAAGAAGCCCCGGCUAACUACGUGCCAGCAGCCGCGGUAAUACGUAGGGGGCAAGCGUUAUCCGGAUUGACUGGGUGUAAAGGGAGCGUAGACGGCAGGGCAAGUCAGGAGUGAAAGGCGGGGGCUCAACCCCCGGACUGCUCUGGAAACUGUACGGCUGGAGUGCCGGAGAGGUAAGUGGAAUGCCAGGUGUAGCAGUGAAAUGCGUAGAUAUUAGGAGGAACACCAGUGGCGAAGGCGGCUUACUGGCCUGUAACUGACGUUGAGGCGCGAAAGCGUGGGGAGCAAACAGGAUUAGAUACCCCUGUAGUC